AAAUCUUUAAAAAAAAAUACAACUGAGGAAAAAAAUUUCAUUUAUAAAAAGUAUAAAAUAUAUUGGAACAAGUUGAUUAAGAAACAUAUAGUAUUUAUAUGAAAAUAUGAACUUUAACUGAGAGAUUUAAGAUGUUCCUAGCUGGGAACAUCUUAUUAUAAAGAUGUUGAUUUGUUUGAAAAUACUUUCAGAAAUCAUUGCAAUCUUAAUGAAAAUUACAAUGGGGUUUCUCUCUUUGGGUGUGUAUUUGGGAAGGGAGGUUUGGUAGUUGAGAAAAAAUAUUUUAAAAUAUAUCUGAUAAAAUUAUGCAUGCUAGGCUAGUCAAAAAAUUAAAACAAACAAACAGAAAACAAACUACAGUUGUAAUGGGCCCAUGUGGAAGGAGGAAGCCUUUUCUCAGCAGAUACAGAGACAUACUAUAAAGCUACAGUAAUCAAAAACCGUGAAGUACCGGUACAAAAAUAAACAAACAGUAGAACAGAAUAGAAAAUCCCAGAAAAACCCAAAGUAGUAUAAUGGUGGCUUAGCACAUUAAUGGAAUGUGUGUGUGUAUGUGUGUUUGUGUAUAUAAAAUUCAAGAGAGUACAUGAAUUAUUCAAUAUACAGUUACACAAUAAUUAGUUAUUUGGGAAAAAAGUGAGCCAAAUCCUUAUUUCACAGCUCAUACUAAAGUUAAUUCCAGAUAGAAUUUAGCUAUAACUUAAAGUAGAAUAGAGCUUUUUAUGAAUGACAGGGGAAAAGCAAUCAAGAAAUAUGACUAUGUAAAUAUUUAAAACUUUUUAUAUGUGAAAACAAACAUAUUAGCAAACAGUUCUUUCCCUCCUGCUAAGGAAACUACAAAAUCUGGACAAAAUUUUAAGAGGAAAACAAAACAAAACAAAACAAAACAUUUAACUCCCCAGAGAGCUAACAAGUCCAGAAAAACCCAGAGAAGUAAGCUUUGCAUUUGGUAUGGCUUUUGCCCCAGAGGCAUCUGCCAGUUUUGGAAGUUAUAUGGGAGACUGAGAAGGUGAGCUGAGCCUUUGAAAGACUGUUGGAUUUAGGAGAGGGAAAGGAGGUCAACGCUGCCAAGGAGGGAAGUAUUGGUAAGUUCACAAGCUUUAGACUGGGACUCCAACUUAAAGGGCUACAAUCCAUGAAUAAGUGUGGGCCUGAAUAGAUGUUCCCCAGAAGGCACUGAAGCCCAGCUUCUAAUCAUAUCAUUUUGUGAUUGAAUUAAGAUAAUUCAGGGCUGCUGGUAUUCCUAGCCACUUGCCAGAAGCAAACAAAAUUCUCUGAAGAAAGGUUACAUCCCAGUCUCAAAUUAUCUGUACCAUUUUUCAUAUACAAUAUCUGACACUCAGUUAAGAAAAAACAGACACAUAAGGAAUCAAGAUAGCGUAGUGGGAAAUCCAAAGGAGCAACAGAGCAUAAGAAACCCAUAGGAAUCUUGAAAAUGGAGUUUUCAUACAUGGAUUUUAAAAUAAGUAUGAUUAAUAUAUUAAAGAUAAUAAAACAUGAGAUGUAUAAUGUUAAUAGAUAAAAGUAAAUUAUGAAAAGAUACAAAAUGGAAAUUCUAGAACAGAAAAAAGUAUCUACUGAGUCAGUAACCCAACUGGACAGGUUUAAGUGGGGCCAGAAACAUUGAAGAGAAAAUUAAUGAAGUGGAAGAUAGAUAUGAAAAAUAUACAGAAUAAAUCACAUAAAUAUGAAAUGAUUAAAACGCACACACACAGAAAGAGAGAGCUACACAGAGGACAAUAUAAGAGACACAGGGGAACUAGUGAGAAGUUCUAACCUAUCUGUUAACAGAGUCCACAAAAGGAAAAGAGAAAGAUAUUAAGGGAGAAACAAUGUUUGAGGAGACAAUGAAUGAUAAUUUUCUUUAAAAAAAAAAAAAUCUAUGAACCCAUGCUGGAUAAAUAACACAUUCUCCAAUAAACACCAAAGGAAAUUUUGCACCCCAAAAAAUACUAAUGCAUACUAUUCUGGGACAAGAAAAUUAUUCCAGAUGAAAACUUAAAGAUACAGGACAGGUUUAAGGGCCUCAGAAAUGAUAAAUAUUUAAUGUUGAUAUAGAAUUGCAAUAAUAAUAUCUCAUAAGGCUAAAUGUAUUACAAAUAACAUGUUAGGAUAAAAACAUUUAAAGAGUUCUAAGCUUCUUGCAUUGUCCAGGAAGAGGUAAAUUUCCUCAUUUAUCUUAGAUUACAAUAAGUCAUCUACACAUGUUGUAAUCUCUAGUGUAACAAAUCAUAGUAAGAGAAUGCAUAGCUACCGAGUUAAUAGGAGGAAAAAGAACUAUAAAAAACAAUCAACCAAAAGACAGGAAAGAAAGAAUACAAAACAGGUAGUACAGAUAAAAAGCAGAUGGCAAAAUGGUAGAACUAAACCCAAUCAUAUCAAUAAUUACAUUAAAUAUGAGUAAACUAAAUAUUGCAAUUAAAAGACCAAUAUUGUCAGACUGGAUUUUUUUUUUAAACAAGAACCAACUAUAUCUUACUUAUGAGAAAUACCUAAAAUAUACAGAAGAGGUUGAAGGUACAAGGAUGGAAAAGUUACAUUGUAGAAAAAAAUAACCAAAAGAAAACUAUUGUCACUAUAUUAUUAAGAGUAGGCCUAUGAAAAGUGAAGAAGAAAAAGUUGUUGGGGGUGGGGGGUGGAGAAAUAGAGAGACCAGGCAAACAGUGCAAGCAAUGUUUUCAAAGUAGCCUUCCUUUCUACAAGGGCAGCAGGCAGGGUGGUGUGAACGGGCUGGUGAAUGUGGAGCCUGUGUGCUAGGAACUAGUGCGAGAGAACACAGGAUUGGAAAGAGGAGUCCAGGUUAGGGAAAAGCCUGCAUAAUACUUUCAAUGGAUUUUUUUAUGUCAUAGAUUUGGACAUGGCUUUAAUCAAUGAGAAGCUGUUAGAUAUAUAGUUAGUGGUAAUGAAAAAUAAAAAUUUUAAACUUGUCACUAUCAACCCCUUUAACAGCCUUUAGUUUAUUGGAAUAAGUCUAUUAUCUAGCAUAAGUUUUAAAGUCUCCUUCAUCAACCACAGAUAGCAUGGGGGUGGUGGUUAGAACUCCGGCUCUGUAGAAUUUGCCUGCGGUGAAUUCUGUCCUCACAUUCUGCCUUCUCCACUUCUUCUUUGUAUGACCAUGGGCAGAGACUCUUAAUCUCUCUGUCUCUCUCUCUCUCUUUUUAAAUAUAAAAUGAAAAUAAUAGCACAUAACUAAUAGACUUGUGAGAAUUAAAUGAGUAAUGCACAUGAAAUAUGAGAACGGUGGCUGGAGCAUAGUAAGUAUUCAACAAAUAGCUGUUAUUUUUCAUAUUAUAAUUAUGACUUUUGUUUCGGAUAUCGUUUUGGUAUCUCAAUUAAAUGCUGAUGAAGUAAGCCUAAGGAUAAUAAGUCUAGUCUUUUUUUCUGGUCUUGCUCUGUCCUCAACUCUAAACCAGGAACCAAUUACUGUGUCAUGGGUCUGGUCUUUCCUGCCUGAAAUUGGCAAACGACAAAGAAUGAAGUCCUUCUAUGUGUGGUCCUCUGGUUGGCACUGGGAAUAUUCUCCAGUAAGAUAGGGCUGUGCACUUGAAGGAGCUCACAGACGUGUGAAUAAAGGAUUUCCACACAGUGGGAUAUGACUAAUAGGAAGAAGGAUGUAUUCCAGCACGUAGGAUGAAGACUGUGCUUUGGAAGCAGAGAAGGGGGAUAUUUUCUAGCUGGGGAAGAAGAGGAAAGCUUCAUAAUGGGCUUGGAGGAAGAGGCAGGAGAGGCUAUUCUGGGCACAAAGAACACAGGCAUAUAGAGGCAGGAUAGCAGGAAAGUACAAGGCAUGCUUGGGGAGUGGCUAAUUGCCCGCUGUCCCAGGUAUGUCAGGUGGACAGAAGGGAACAGCAUUUGCGAAAGCUGGAGAAGUAGACCAGAGUUGGGUUGUGACUGCUUUUCUAUGAAAUUUAGAAUGCUUCCAAAUUAUUUCAGAGGUAAAUCUUUUAUAGCAAGCUUUCAAAUAAAGUCAGACUUAAGGUAUAGUUAUGCUUUGUAGUUCAUAAAAGAAAUUCCAGUAUGAGUGUUCCCCAAAUGGCCAAAUAAACAUUGAUAGGAAUUUAGGAGGUAGAAAUAAAAUCAUUCUUUCCUAAACCAAGUUAUCUAUAUUAUGACCCAUUACGUGUGAACUUAUACUUGCUGAAUUGUUUAGUAAUGGUUAUACAAGCUACAACUAUAAUAACCAUGGUAAAGACAAUAGCAUGCGUACUGAUAGUAAUACCGUCUAACACUUAUUGAAAGAAUUCUAUGUGCCAGAAACUACUACAGAAUCUCUUAAUUCAUUAGUGUAUUAAAUGUAUAAUCCUCAUUGCACCUCUUUGAGACAAAGCUAUUAUUAUGUAUAUAAGAAAGCAUAUUGUAAACUAGAAAAAAACACUAUGCCAAUGAUAAUGGUAGGCUAUGUUGUCUAUGUGUACACUAGGCCUCAUCUGCCUUUUAUUUUCCUUCCAUGUUCAUCUUUUCUCUAGUUUUAUGCUACAGGCUGGAGGGAAGGGCAAGAGGAGAGAGAGAGAGAGAAAUGGGAAAGGCGAAAAUCUUUAGGAAAUUGUUAUUCCUAACGAAUGGCUGUUUGAGUUCUGUUUUUGUUUUUUAAACUCAUUUAGAGAGAAAAAAUAAAGACAGUUCUGUCAUGUAAAAAUAUUAUCCCAUCUUGCUGAUUUUGCGUAGGUUGACUGGUGGGUGCUGAAUUAGAGAUUCUGGAGGAUACGCUGGGUUUCAAGGAGGCUGAGAGUUUGUCUUCUGUAUCUGCCUGUCAGACUCAACUGUAAGCCUCAAAAUAUAAUAUCAUUCCCUCCCACUGAUUACAUUUGCACACGAUCAGUGAUCAGUGCCAGCUCAAGAGAGACACUAACUUUCCACCUAGGACUGUUUCCCCAGUUGUGGGAAAGAUAGGAUAAACAGUUGAGACUCUCUAAGUACCAUCAGGAAGAGGUCAGUGCACAGCUCUUAAGACUGGAAUUAAUUCCACAGGGAAAUUAUGAUGGAAUAAUCAAUUUAGAAACUUAAAGCUUGGAUCGAGAUUCAAAAAUUUUGAAAAGAAAACAAAAACCAAAACCCUUGCAGAAGUACGGAUCUGCUCAAGGUUCUUUUCAAUCCCUGACAACUGUGGGUCUAAGAUUUUCACAAAAUGAGAGGAAAGAAAUUAUGUGUAAUUUUCACAUCGGAACUAGGCUCUUUUUGCCCACUCCCUUCCAAAUUUCAGCUACUUAUCAUGUUGGCCAAAUCCUACAGUGAACGUCACUUCAGAACAAUCUGAAUGGGAAAACCACAGAGCCCUGCUUCUUUAAAAUUAGGCAUGAACAAAUCCAGAAUAAUGAGAGGAAGCAUAAAACAGAUUACGUUUUACCUAAAGUGGAAUUUAAGACAUGCCACAAGUAAUUGAUUCUCUUUCUAGGAUAAUUUAAGAACAAAGACUUGACUUUUUUUUUUUUUUAAGAUUUUAUUUACUUACUUGAGAGAGAGAGUGAGCAUGAGUAGGGGAUAGGCAGAGGGAGAAGCAGACUCCCCCAAAGCAGGGAGCCGAGGUGGGGCUCAAUCCCAGGGCCUUGAAGUUAUGACCUGAGCAAAAGUCAGAUGCUUAAUGACUGAGCCAACCAACCCCCCCAUUUGACUUUGUAAACGCAAUAACAGGUCGCUAUUCUGCAAAGCCAAAACAGUGAUGGUCUUUUCUGAUACGAUCCAUCUAGUUUUUUCCUUUUUGCCACCUUUGUAUUGCUUCCUCUAUUUUAGUGUCUGUCGCUCUUUCUUGCAAUUCUUAGUUUAUAAGCCUGCCUCCACUAUUAGGAGUUCCUCGAGAGCAGACACCUCUUCUUAUUUACUCUUAUAAAAGUUAUUCUCAAUAUUUGCCACUGUAUCAUGCAUGGAAGGCAGUCCUCCACUGCUUGUUGAAUUCAUGAAUGAAUGCAUACACGCCAUUAAUACAUUAAUUAAUAGCCGUCAAUAGUUAGAAGUCCUAGGUUCCAACUCCUUCCAUUAACUAAGUUCCUUUGAACUGUUGAUGUAAUGGUUCUUCAUUUAUAAAAGAUGACUUUGAAAAUUUCUUCCAGCAAACGUUUAUUUCUAUAACAAGAGAUUCAUAGCAUUUUUAUAAACUGUGAAGUGUGAAGCCUGUAUUACCAAUGAAUAAUUCGAGUUUUGACAUCUGACCACCAGCUUGGGGCAACCAGGCUACCAUGUAGUCUUUUAUCUCACUUUGCCGAAAAUUUCAAUUAUACUCUAUCCUGGUUUGUUUCGUGUCUUUUCCAAUGUUUUGUGCGGGGAGAAAAGUGAGUAAAAUAGUCAUCGUUUUGAGGAUAUUUGAGGCUGGAGAACUUUGUAGUGCUUGCUGCUAGGGGCUUCAUUUCUCUGACCUUCCUUGGCUUCCAUGCCAGCCUAAAAUAGCAACUCAAUCCCUGACCUGUGAUUCUACUAUAACUUAUGACAGUGAAGAGAAAAACAGUGGAAGAAGAGAAAUUAGGUUGGAUUUUCUGAGAAGAUUUUGAACCAUAGGUUGUUUUUUGGGUUACAUCUAUCUACUUAUUUUUAAAAUCAUCUAGAGUCUUGCAACUGUGUACAGACCAUAGCUUCUCUAGAAAUUUUCCAUGCUGUUGAAAAGCUUACAUAAUUGCUUAUGUGGCAAUUGCAAAAUCAUCCCUUGACGUGAACAGAAACCAGAGGAGAAGUGUCCUUCUCACCAUUUCUGGCUUUCCCUCCUGCGGGCUGGGGGAGGGGGGAAGUGGAGAUUAGCAGGAAGAUAGGAAGAGGGAGGAGUUUGUGGAAUGAGUGGGAAAGUCACUGAAGAGUUUAUAAACUGGCAGUGCGUGGAGGCAACCACAUCUGAGACGGUGGGGAAAAAAGUACCAUAAGCCCAAUCAUUUGCCCAUUUCAGCGGAGAAGGAGAUUGUCCAUUUUGUGUUUUGUUCUUCAUGUUUUGGAGAUUGAGGUCAAAGUAAGAACAGUGAAGUGCUCACAGUACUCGCUUUCCUAAUCGGUCGAUUGAAAAUCAACUACGCAGAAAAGCAGGAAGUGUACCACACAUGAGUUUAUGAAGAUCCUCUCUUAGCUGUCACUUCAGAGAGUUUUUUUCCUCCUUCAUUGUAAGAGAGCAGUGAAGGACCCAGUGAGAAAUUUGUUACCAGGAAUCAGUCCAUGAUGUGGGGGGGAGAGUUGGUGGUUUAUGAUCUAAAACCCAAGGCCAGAGAGAUUUUCCUAAAUCAUUGAAAGCCAGUUGAUGCCGGAGAAGAUAUUAAGCUGUUAGGGGGUUUCAGAGCUUUGAUGUUUCCCUAGAAAGUCUGGAAGCUGGAAAAGGAGAAGGCUCUAAAUCCCAGUCCGUGUGUGUGUGUGUGUGUGUGUGUGUGUGUUUGCUAAGCAAUUAUGCAAACACAAAGACAAAUGCAGUCCCUUUCUCUCCCCUCUCUCCUGGAUAUUUCUGCCAGCCCCCCCCCAGGCCAUCUCCUGUGCAAGCUCACGUCUGCAGGGUCUGCAGGUCCGGGCAGCUUGGCCUAUGUCAGACAAUAGAUAUGCAAGAUAACAACAGGGCAGCCACUCUGAGGCCUUGGCCUUUAUCAGGAUUAACUGUUACAUCAAUAAGCAAAACAGGGCGGCGGGGUUUUUCCAUCGCUGGCCUUUGCUGUUCCUGGGUGCCAGAUGGCAUUUAUAUCCAUGAAAACAAAAUGCUGCAAGUUAGAAUGUUGACUAGGCACUGUUACUUCCACUUGACCACACUGUGUGGGGCUCGCUUUGAUGUACAAAACACUCCUAAGAUAAUGAAAUGCGUUGGCAGCUGGCUAAUGGCUGGGAAAGUGCAAACCCUGCACUGAACUCUUCCCCGAGACUAUUCAAUGAACACAGAGUAGGUGCUGAAUGCCCCUCCCUGACCAUUUCUGAAGCUGGAGAAGUCUAGCUGGGUGGGAAGUUCUCCACAAUCCCGGUGUUUCCGUCACCUCUCCCUGGAAGAGUUACGCCCUCUGCCAGUCCACAAGUCAAGUUUGGACGCUUCUCUCAGCCCACAGAACUAUAUCUGCCCAUCCCACAGCUGGUGUCCGUGUUUCUGCUUGGAGCUCUGCCUUUGUCAAUUCAAACAGUGUGUUUUUCAAAAAAAAAAAAGUCAUUGACCACGUUUUUGUUUUCUCCUCAUCCUGUUUGUCAGGGGAUACUGGGUGUGUGGUCUCGAACUUCCUACUUACUGCACUUUGUCUUAGGGUGCUGGGACCUUCUUUUUGAACUCUGGUUUUCACAAGAUUGUUGGCCACAGCCAUUCUGGGUCUAUUAAACAUAGAAUCUUUCUUGGCCAAAAGUUACAGCGGUUGGCUCUACAUGAUAAAUUACGGUUACUGUUUGUUUCUUUGUACUUUUCUGUGUUUCCCAAGGGGAACAUGUAUUUCUUUUAUAUCAAUGAGAAAAAAGAGUAAAAAAAAGUCGUAAAAGUACCAGAGUAGUAGUAAUCUCUACUUACUGGUGAGUGUGUCUCAAUUCCUUCCUUUCUUCCAUCUCUUCUUGAAGUGCAUCCAGAUAUGUACAGACCGUAUGUAAAUCCAUGAAAUUAGAUAAAUCAACUCUUGUAAGUUAUGACUUCAUUUAAAAAAUAGGUAUGAGAGAUGAUGUCUAAGAAUGUGUUGUGUGUGUGUGUAUAUAUACAGAUAUAUACAAAAUAAAACAAAACCUAAACCAGAAACAACUAGACUUCCAGUUUCCGAGUCCAGGAUCUAAGGACAAUAAGUAAAAAGAUGAACAAACUGGAAAUCAAGACCUGGAGUGAUAUUCAUCGAAUUAUCAACAGGUCUCCCUGUUAAUAGCUUUAGCAGUAAUGCGUGCUUUUAUUUUAUGCUAAACUUGUUGGAUUGUUUUAAAUUUUUAAUUGUGAUGCUGUAAUAUAUUUGUAAUGAUAAAAAUACUUGAAAAUAAUGAAAAACUCCAAUCCCAUGUUUAUCUUCCACAGACCUUUGAAUAUCCAUUGUCCACACCUACAUCUGUUAUUAAUCAACCCCUUACUUCCCUACCCCCCCCCCCAUGGCAAAAGACCCUGACUCUUAGACCCUUAUAUCAACCUCCACGGAACAUUUAAAAAAUGCUAGUGUUCUGGCUCAUUUGGGAUGGGUAAAGGGAGUCAAACUUACUUUAUGGCUUCAGAUUUUGGGGUUAUGCAUAGAAAGGUUUUUUUUGCUCCAAUGUUUUAUAUAUAUAUGGUCUGCUAUGUUUUCUUUCUAAUACUUUGUUAUUUGUGUUUAUUGGACAAUUUUUAAUCCAUCUGGAAUUUAUUUGUGUGAAUUGUGAGGUAGGAAUCUGAUGUAGGAUGUUUUGACCCCACCAAAAUGCAAUCAACACAAUUAAGGCUGAGAAUUGCAGGUGCACAUGGUAAAAUAAGUUAUUAACUAGCUGCUUCCAGAAAAAUAAAUCUUCUUGACAAGUUUAUAUCUGCAGUAUUUGACUUGGGAAAAAUUUGACUUGAUAAAAACAGUGGUCAUAGGAGAAAACUCAGCGGUGGAAGCUUUACUUGAUAAGAAUUGAUAAGGAUAAAACAAUUUGCUAUUUUAAGAUUUACAUUAAAAAAGUGGCCUCAGUGAAAAUAAUUUUUGAUAUGGAAAUGAUGAUAAUUAGAGGAAUAUUUUCAUUAUGCUGUCUAGCCAAUUGGUCAAGGGAAAAUAAAAAUAGUUUAAUUCUAGCAUGUUUCUCAAGGAAAAUUCAUCAGUGUUGGUAAAAUUAUGAUUUAAAAAUUGUUUGAAUUGAUAAAACCAGAGUGAGAAGGUUCUUGGGGCUAAAUCAGUGAAGCAAAGAUUAUCUUUUACUUUGGAGAUCUUACUUUAUUUUUCUAAAUGGGUUGCUUAUUAUUCUGACAACAUUAAUGUAGGCAACUGAUCAAUUCUUACAACUGGUCUGAAAUGAACCUUUUUCAUUUACUGAAAUCUCAUACUUGGGUCUCUCUCUGGACUCUCUUAUUUCUUGGAUGUGCUUGCCUAAUCUGCACUGGUUUUAAUUAUUGUAGAUUUAAAGUAACUAGUUAAGUAUCCCCCAUUUGCCCCCCUUUAGAAUUGUUUUUCAACAUUUUCUUAGUUCUUCUCUCACGUUCAAGAACUUCAGCACCAGCUAGUUCAAUAGGCCAGAUUUUUAGUAACAAGCUGAAUAAUUAUAGACAUUUUACAUUUUAGUUGUAAUCUCCUACUUAUUUUUUUUAAUAUCUUGGCUCAAUUAUAUAUAUAUUUAUAUCUGUCUAUCUAAUCUUUAUGUAUCUAUAUCUGUACCUACAGAUAUAGCUGUAGAUAUCUGUGUGUAGAUAUCUGUUUGGAUUUUUAGCCUUUCACUUAAUUGAAUUUAUUUAUUUUUUUGGUUUUUGGAUUUUUUUCUUAUUUUGAGCCCUUAAAGAUCCUUUGCAGUUCAUUCCUUUUGAAGCUGAUUUCAGUUACUACAUCAUACUUUGUCCAUUAUCUGCUUAUUUCUAACAAUGGUAAGUCCUGAGAGCUUAUCAUUCCUGCAGCUCCAACACAAAAUCUUGGUUUUGGCACCUAUUUGGAAGUAAAAAUGGCAAAGGUUUAUUUAUUUUUUUUUCCUGAAAUUCAGUAUAUACACUCUGAGUGUUGAUGAAGGGGAAGAUGUUUAAGUGUCUUUGCUAGUGGGAUUUCCCUAUACCUUCUUUCUCUUUCCCAAAGAAUAAGACUCUAUUAUUUAUCCUGUCCUUUGCUGUGUCCUCUAAAUUCUUGGAUGAAAUUCACAAGGAGCUUUUAAAGUCUACCUCCUCUUUGAUGAGAGUUGGUGAUUUGAAUUUGCAUUGUAAUGUCCCUCCUAAGAGCAAAGCCUUAACCUUGACAAUGCUAUACUUUGCAAAUUUGAUACCAGAUAAUGGACAAUCCUUUGAAAUGCUGUCUCAUUCAUCUGCCACUUGUUUAUAGUUUGUUUGGGGGGUUAAUCAUGUGACCUUCGGGUUCUUCUUUUUUUUUUUUUUUUUUGCAAACUACUUUUUAUAUACAAGUCAUAUUCCAUGAAGGCAGAAAUUAAUUUCGAAUUCUAUCUUUAGUGUAUAAAGUAAUGCCUGGCAUAUAAUAGGCACUUCGUAAAUAUUGCUGGUUGACUGACUGGCCUACCUUUAUUUCCAAACACAGCAUUUGAAGAACUCUAGGUUAGAAUUAGCUAUUUGUCUGCCCCAGAGGUCAUUCUAGCAUAUCUGAAACAAAUCUGACAUCCCCAAAGCCUCUGACUCCUCUUAUUCCUAAACUCUAACAACGGUGUCCUCCUCAAAAUGUUUAAGCUCAACACUUUUCCAUCAUUUAAGAACUUCUUCCUUCUCUCUCUCCUCUAGCCCCCUUCACAUCCACAUGUAAUUCACGCCCAGAUUUGUUGAUUCUAUUUCACAGUGUCUCUAUAGCCAUUCAGCAAUUCCGGUUCUCUAACCUAGUUCAAGACCUUGCUCCCUAUCAACUUGGCUGUUAAGAUUUGCCCCGUAAUUAUUAUCCCUCCCUUAAGGGCUGUCCUUACUCCAUCACUUCACUAAAAUCCAUGUUAAUAUUGCCUGUAGAACACUCAUCCUUAAACAGGGCUGACCCCAUCACUAUGUGCCUAUGAUUUCUUGUUACCUAUAGACUACCGUUCAAACUCUCUAACCUGCUUUGCAUACUCUUCUGGAAUGUGAAGGGUCUCAAUCAUGAUUUCCGGUUUACUCUGCUUCAUGCUCUGCACCUUUUACUCCUGCCAAGGGAGUGUGCUGUCUUUCCCUGGAUGAACCCUGCAAUCUCCUUGCUGCUGAUCUUUGUCCCAUCUCACUGUGUUCUGGGCACACAGGCUCUUUUCAUUUGCUUGCCCUCCAUGACCUCUCCCGCUGCAGUCUUCACCAGCAGUACCUUGCCCUGCUUGUCUGCCAGCUGCACUUGGUUGUGUAACUGCCACUCCUUCCCCAGAUCUCACUCUAAAAUCCCUUCUCAGGGAGGCCCUCCACAGUCCCUCCCCCAGGCGCCUUCCCUGUUUCCAUAUAUUCAGUCCCAUUAAACACCGUCAGCUCUGGUACUCAAAGGUGCACAGUAUAUAAUUAUACACAUAUGUGUGGGGUCAUCUGAUUAAGGACAUCUCCCCCACUUGAUUCUAAACUCCGCGAAUGAAGAGCUCUGGCCCACCUUGCUCCCCGCUGUGUCCCCUGCCACAGGCAUUGGAGCAUACUAAAUACCUAAGGAAUGAACGCAUCAAUGUCUACGAAAGACUUGGCUGUGUUCCUUACCCCAUCUCCUCUUGGAAACUGCCCAACACCCCCAUUUUGAAUUUCUCUCUCUCUUUCCUUUAAUCCCUACACACUUACCCCUCGUCCCGUAGGUGGUAGUUCCUACGGGGUAGUCAUGUCAUCCACACCAUAGCUCCCCCUAGGAAGCCAGGAGGAGGGUCUGGUUUAUGUCUAAGGAUGAGCGCUAAUACUAAAAACUUAGGCUUUGAGGGCGCCUGGGUGGCUCAGUCAGUUAAGAAUCCAACUCUUGAUUUUAGCUCACAUCAUGAUUUCAGGGUCGUGAGAUUGAGCCCCAUGUUGGCUUCCCCACGGAGCACGGAGCUUGCUUAAGAGUCUCUCUCCCCCACCCCGCCCCACCCCCCACGUGCACUCUCACUCUCAAAAAAAAAAAAAGUUAAGGCUUUGUUUAUAGGAGUAACAAAGGUUGGCAAAAGUUGAAAUGGUUAAAUUUGAAAUGUUUGGAGUAUUAUGUCACGCUUCCAGUGCACCCCAGAGGUUCAGUCAGAAGCUCACCUGAGCCAGUGUGCUCUGAUUAUACCUUAAUCUUAGCCAGUGAAUUCACAGAUGCGUGAGGGUGUUAAGUAGGGAGGCUGGGAUAGGAUAUGGGAUGAGUUCAGUGGGAAUCCACACCCACUAGUAGAAAUCCAUGCCCUAGUGCUGGUGGGUUAAUAAUACCUUCUUACAUUCUUAUUCGGUCUUCUUUUGCACACUUCACUCAAUAAUCUUGUUAAUAAAUUCUAGCAGAUAAUGAUAAUAAGGAAAUAAUGGUUAACUAAUCUGUGUUUAUCCUGUCAACUGCACCUUAGCUGAGGACAUAAACCCACAUGGAAAAAUUUGGCCUUUGUCUAUUUAAAUCUCUUACAAAAGAAAAGUAGUGCUUGAGUUUUACCAAGGCUGUAGGUUUAUUGCUCUUAAUUCUACUCACAACAAAAUGAGUUGUCCUUCAACCUGGUUUUGCCAAGUAUUUGAGUUGGAUGAAUAGAUGGUCUAAAAACCAUCAAAAAGUGUUCAAAAAUUGAUGUAGCACGAUUAGCUCUGGACUGCCACAGAGGGUUUGGAGGAUUUCCAGGGGCCUAUUUGUUAAUUUGAAGUCCUAGGAAAGAACAGGGGAAGGAACAGGAAAAGCUGUGCUUGUACCCUGGCCUGGAGCUACCGAGGAGGGCAAUAUUAAUGGCAACUUGCAGGGGUGCAUCCUGGGCAUUUUCUUAUCCUAGAGAAGUGUAGUUUUCAGAACAGAAAAUAUACUCAUUUUUCUUUCUUGCUCUUGAAGAUUGUGAGAAAAUUCCUAAGAGAUAUUCUUGGAAGAGUCAGAAAGGUAUUAUUCUGAUCUCUAUGGGUGCUCAGAGAUGUAAAGGACUCAAUCUUGAUAACACAGCACCCAGUGUGUUUCUUAAUUGUUCCUUUGAUGAAGAGAGGACUUUCCUGAAAGAUAUGAGCCAGAAGAAGAAGUCCAACUUCAGUGCUCUAGAAGAAACAGCUGGGUCUUCGGGGUUUCGGGUAACCUGCUCAGUGGCAGUCAGGAUCUAUAGAUCAGGGAGACAGUGAUAUCACUGUCAGGUUCUGAGACUUUUGUAAUUUGUCUGUGUUUGUCACUGUGGUCAUUGCCUGUCCCCGUUUUGACUACCAGCAAAAUGCUUGAAAUGAAAAUCAUUUCUGGACAAGGUCUUAGAUAUGGUGAAUUCAUUCAUUCACUCAACCAAUUUUUAUGGAGUGUUUACUCUAUGCCAGGGUCUCCUCCAGAGCCUGAAAAUACAGCAGUAGACAGAGCAGAGCUUGUGCCUUCACUGAGCAAACAUUUUAGUGAAAAGACAGACAAUGAAGGGAGUAAAUAAAAUCUAGAAAGUAUUAGACACUAACAGGUACUACAGAGGGGAAAAAGGGGGGAAGAGGAUAGAAGACAUUGAAGGUGGGGGUUGCAGUUUUAAAUAUGGUAGUCAAGAAAUAUUUAAUUGAGAAGGUGACAUAAGUAAAGAUUUGAAAGAGGGGUUACAGCUAACUGUGUGGUUAUCUAGGGGAAGAGUGUUCCAGGCAAAGGAAUACAAAGUUUAAAGGUGAUUUCUGAAACUAGGUUAGAAAAGGAUUUUAUUGGCUCAAUGUCUCUGAAAACUCAAGGACUCUGGCUGGCUUCAGGCAUGGCUUGAUAAAGGGAUGAGGAAAACAUUUUUUUUUCCUGAUCUUUCUAUAUAUUGGUUUCAUUCUUACAUAGUUUGGCCUUUUGUGGCUGUAAGAGAGCUACGGUGUUUCCAGUUCCCAUAUCCUGCACUUCAACUCCAUAGGAAGAGUCAAGGGCUUUGUCUCAGUAUUACUGGCAAAAAUCUCAUUUUGUCUCUUUUACUCUGAGUGGGUCACUGCCCAUUUCUGAACCCACUGUUAUGAUCAGAGUAAAUACUGUGUGCUGAUUGCUUUAUGCUUGUGUCACUUGCUACGCUGGAAUGGCAUAGACUGAGAAAGUAUGUUUGUGCCUGGUUUGGUUUGGUUUGGUUUUCGGUUUUGGGGUGUUUUUUUGUUGUUUUGUUUUGUUUUGGUGAGGGGAAGGGGGAAUUCCCCUAAAGAAAAUUGGGGAACCAAGAGAAGGAUUAAUGGAUUUUAGAUAGCAAAAACAGCAAAUGUCCUUUAUACCAUAUCUCUUUCGCUUAAAUAAAAUCCUUGAUAGAGUUAGAGCCAUCACAAACUUUCUGGGGUAAGUCACUUCAUCUCUAUUGAACAUUUUUUUUUUUUUAAUCUAAAAUGAGGAGGUUGUAAGGCCACAUUGUAAUUUAUGCUCUAUAGCUAAGUAUAUUUUCUGAAGUCUGAAAUUUAAAAAAAAAGUUCAUUAUAUUAUGAUAUUACAAAUAUAAUCUGCUGAAGGAAAGUAGAAAGUGAGCAUUUAGCCUGUAUUCUGGAGAUUGCUAUUUGGCAUAAGGGCCUGCAUGAGUCCUUGAGUAUAGGCCCUUAAAUGCAAGUUUUUGAAGAGCUGAUGUGAUCAAUCCCAGAUGCCUUUGUCCUGUGAUUUACUGUUUACUUGGUGAGCUGUAGGAAGAGAGAGAAGGAAGAGGGUGGAUCAGGGUUAUGUGCUGGGUCAAUUUCUAGCCUGGAGUUGGGUGACUUGGUUGAAAGGCCAGCUCAGGGGGCGUUAACACAGAUUUCCAUAUUCAAAACAGAGUGGAGAGUCUAAGCACCCUUCUGUAAGCCUCUGUGACAUUAAGACAAUGGCAUUAAGAUAAAAACUCUCCCAAGGGUAGAAGACUCUUGGGAUUCGACUUUCAGGAUUGCAGAGUCCUUCUUUAGCGCUGGAUUGAGAGGAAACUGGCUGAAGGAAAUGGCCCUUCUCCAUGCAGGAUCUUGAGGCUUCGAUUCUCCCAAUAGCAGUAAGGGACUUCCGUAAGUGUUUUGCCUGUGUUUAAUAUCAGAGCUCCACAUUUUAUAUUAAAUUUAUGACUAUGUGGGUCUGACAUUUGGCAUUGUGUAAGAGGGACAAGUAUCUCCUCAAGCUUCCCGUGUGAUUCGGGCAAUACCUAAAAUCCCUUCAUGAAUGGUUUCCAUGUGUCAGGAAUAAUGCAUUCAGGUCACCAGACCUGUCUCUGUGAAUAUUCCCUUGGAAAUUUCCAUGCUCUUUAGUGUGGUGCACAAAGCCCACAUCAGACCCAGGAUUUCCUUCUUCUUCUAUGACAGAUUCAGGGAUUUAUGUACUCUUGGCUUCCCCAAAUCACAAAAAAUCCCUAUCCAGUCUCAAUAGGUCUUUACAGUCUGAUGAAAACCAUUUUCCUUUCUUUUUUCUUUUUUCCCUUUCCUUGUUUUUUCUUUAUUGAAGUAUAAAAAGACCAUUUGCUUUUCUCCAGUCAUCCUUUCUUUGAAGUUGGAAGAGCAUACUUCAGGAGGACAUGGGGCCCCUGAAACUUCCUCCCCACCCAUCCGAAAUACUCUUCCUUACUGUGGAUUUUACGUGGUUGAUUCAUCACAAUAUUUGUCUCUGAAAUAUUUUCCUAAAAUAAAAUAUAUGUAAUAAUCUA